rnacentral:rRNA from 1 species
UACGGAGGGGGCAAGGGUUAUCCGGAUUUAUUGGGUUUAAGGGGUGCGCAGGCGGUUAUGUAAGUCAGUGGGGAAAUCUUUGGGCUUAACCCGAAAAUUGCCAUUGAUACUAUAUAUCUUGAAUGCUGUGGAGGUAAGCGGAAUAUGUCAUGUAGCGGUGAAAUGCUUAGAUAUGACAUAGAACACCAAUUGCGAAGGCAGCUGGCUACACAAAUAUUGACACUGAGGCACGAAAGCGUGGGGAUCAAACAGG